AUUUAACGCUUUUUAGCUCACCUGGCCAAAAGGGCCAAGUGAGCUUUUCCCAUCACUUUGCGUCCGUCGUCCGUCGUCCGUCGUCGUUAACUUUUACAAAAAUCUUCUUCUCUGAAACUACUGGGCCAAAUUAAACCAAACUUGGCCACAAUCAUCAUUGGGGUAUCUAGUUUAAAAAAUGUGUCCGUCGACCCGUCCAACCAACCAAGAUGGCCGCCAUGGCUAAAAAUAGAACA
rnacentral:lncRNA from 1 species